AGUGAACGCUGGCGGUAGGCCUAACACAUGCAAGUCGAACGGCAGCACAGUAAGAGCUUGCUCUUACGGGUGGCGAGUGGCGGACGGGUGAGGAAUACAUCGGAAUCUACUUUUUCGUGGGGGAUAACGUAGGGAAACUUACGCUAAUACCGCAUACGACCUACGGGUGAAAGCAGGGGAUCUUCGGACCUUGCGCGAUUGAAUGAGCCGAUGUCGGAUUAGCUAGUUGGCGGGGUAAAGGCCCACCAAGGCGACGAUCCGUAGCUGGUCUGAGAGGAUGAUCAGCCACACUGGAACUGAGACACGGUCCAGACUCAUACGGGAGGCAGCAGUGGGGAAUAUUGGACAAUGGGCGAAAGCCUGAUCCAGCCAUACCGCGUGGGUGAAGAAGGCCUUCGGGUUGUAAAGCCCUUUUGUUGGGAAAGAAAAGCAGCAGGUUAAUACCCCGCUGUUCUGACGGUACCCAAAGAAUAAGCACCGGCUAACUUCGUG
rnacentral:rRNA from 1 species